CGAACUUUUUUUUUUUUUGAGAGAUAAGUAGCACGUUAUCCGCUUCGUUUUAUUUUAUUUAGAAAUAAACUUAGCUGAAAAUGUGAAUCAACUAGGAUUCGAACUUGGGUCUCGAAUACCAACCACCAAACCCUUUGCCACUUGCUCUAGGGACGGUCGGUUUUGGCCAAACUUAGUUCGUGGAUAAUUUCAUUUGGAUUGAACAAUUAAAACUAGUGAGGUAAUCCCCAUGAUACAACGGAUAGAUAAUAGAAAAAAAUAAAAAUUUAUGAGAGAAAUAAAAGUAUGAAAAUAUAUAUAUUUCAUGAUUGUUGAAAAUGGCCAAAUGGGAUAACCGGUAAUGAUAUCGUAUGCUGUCUUUAUCGAGAAUGCAUGAGGAGCAGCGGAUGGAAGCGGAAGGGUUCCGGCGGCGCGCGAGAGGAAAAGUGGGAGAGAAAAAAGAAACUUAAAAUCAUAGGUGGAGAGAUCUAAAACUACUGUAUAGGUGAGGACCGUGAGGUGAGGGGAGAGGGAGACAUGCCGCUACCGGUUUGAGAGAUAAACAAAAAAAGAAAAGAGAUGAAAGAAAAAAGAAAAGAAAAAGGAAGAGAGUUGAAAAAUGUGACUGUGAGAGAGAAAUUUUUUUUUUAUUAAGAUAAAAAUUAAUAGAAAAAAAUUAAAAUAAAUAGUGAGUCCCACCAUCCUCAAAUGAAGGUGGUGCAUCUACGUUGAAUUUUACCAUGAAAAAUUAUAUAUAGUUAUUAUAGAGGUAUAGAUAUAGAUUACUCGGA
rnacentral:lncRNA from 1 species